rnacentral:rRNA from 1 species
AGUGAACGCUGGCGGCGUGCCUCAUACAUGCAAGUCGAACGAAGUGGCGCACGGGUGAGUCAUAUAUAGUUAAUCUGCCAUCCACAGAGGAACAACAGUUGGAAACGACUGCUAAUACCUCAUAGUGUAGGAUGAGACUAUAUCGUAUCAGCUAGUUGGUAAGGUAAUGGCUUACCAAGGCUAUGACGCGUAACUGGUCUGAGAGGAUGAUCAGUCACAUUGGAACUGAGACACGGACCAAACUCCUACGGGAGGCAGCAGUAAGGAAUAAUGCGCAAUGGGGGAAUCACUGACGCAGCAACGCCGCGUGGAGGAUGACACUUUUCGGAGAGUAAACUCCUUUUAUCAGGAAAGCGGUACCUGAUGAAUAAGAACCGGCUAACUCCGUGCGAGCCGCCGCGGUAAUAC